AUUGAACGCUGGCGGCAGGCUUAACACAUGCAAGUCGAACGAUGACUCUCUAGCUUGCUAGAGAAGAGUAGUGGCGGACGGGUGAGUAACAUUUAGGAAUCUGCCUAGUCGGGGGGGAUAGCUGGGGGAAACUCGAAUGAAUACCGCAUACGACCUACGGGUGAAAGGGGGCGCGAGCUCGUGCUAUUAGAUGAGCCUAAAUCAGAUUAGCUAGUUGGUGGGGUAAAGGCCCACCAAGGCGACGAUCUGUAACUGGUCUGAGAGGAUGAUCAGUCACACCGGAACUGAGACACGGUCCGGACUCCUACGGGAGGCAGCAGUGGGGAAUAUUGGACAAUGGGGGCAACCCUGAUCCAGCCAUGCCGCGUGUGUGAAGAAGGCCUUUUGGUUGUAAAGCACUUUAAGCAGGGAGGAGAGGCUAAUGGUUAAUACCCAUUAGAUUAGACGUUACCUGCAGAAUAAGCACCGGCUAACUCUGUGCCAGCAGCCGCAGUAAGAC
rnacentral:rRNA from 1 species